rnacentral:misc_RNA from 1 species
CCGAGUGCGGGCUCCCUCGCGAGCCCAACCUCCCACCCGUGUUUUUACAGACCCCGUUGCUUCGGCGGGCCCACCGGGAUCCCCGGUCGCUGGGGGGCACUUCGCCCCCGGGCCCGCGCCCGCCGAAGCGCCUCUUGAACCCUGAUGAAGAUGUACUGUCUGAGUCUUAAUGAAAAUUGUCA